UACAGAGGUCUCAAGCGUUGUUCGGAUUCAUUGGGCGUAAAGGGUGCGUAGGCGGCGGGGUAAGUCUGAUGUGAAAUCCCGGGGCUCAACCCCGGAACUGCAUUGGAUACUGCCCUGCUUGAGUACUGGAGAGGAGACUGGAAUUUACGGUGUAGCAGCGAAAUGCGUAGAGAUCGUAAGGAAGACCAGUGGCGAAGGCGAGUCUCUGGACAGUUACUGACGCUGAGGCACGAAGGCCAGGGGAGCAAACAGG
rnacentral:rRNA from 1 species